rnacentral:rRNA from 1 species
GAAUUGUUCGCAAUGGGCGCAAGCCUGACGACGCAACGCCGCGUGGAGGAUGAAGAUCUUCGGGUCGUAAACUCCUGUCGAGCGGGAAGAACGUUUCGCGGGUGAAUAAUCCGCGGAAGUGACGGUACCGCUAAAGGAAGCCCCGGCUACGUCCGGGCAAGCAGCCGCGGUAAUACGGGGGGGGCAAGCGUUGUGCGGAAUUACUGGGCGUAAAGGGCUCGUAGGUGGCCAACUAAGUCAGACGUGAAAUCCCCAGGCUCAACGUGGGAACUGCGUCUGAUACUGGAUGGCUUGAAUUCGGGAGAGGGAUGCAGAAUUCCAGGUGUAGCGGUGAAAUGCGUAGAUAUCUGGAGGAAUACCGGUGGCGAAGGCGGCAUCCUGGACCGAGAUUGACACUGAUGAGCGAAAGCUAGGGGAGCAAACGGG